UGCCAGCAGCCGCGGUAAUACAGAGAGUGCGAACGUUGUUCGGAAUUACUGGGCUUAAAGCGCGCGUAGGCGGCGUAACAAGUGUCAGGUGAAAUCCCACGGCUCACCCGUGGAACUGCCCGGCAAACUGUUAUGCUAGAGUGUGGUAGGGGAGAGCAGAACUCAUGGUGGAGCGGUGAAAUGCGUAGAUAUCAUGAGGAAUACCGGUGGCGAAGGCGGCUUUCUGGACCGAUACUGACGCUGAGACGCGAAAGCGUGGGGAGCAAACAGGAUUAGAUA
rnacentral:rRNA from 1 species